rnacentral:ncRNA from 1 species
CACCGCCCGUCGCUACUACCGAUUGAAUGGCUCAAGUGAAGGCUUCGGGCUGGGCUCAGGGAGGGUUGGCAACGGCCGCCAGAGCCGGAAAAGUUGGUCAAAACUGGGUCAUUUAGAGGGAAGUAAAAGUCGUAACAAAGGUUUCCGUAGGUGAACCUGCGGAAG